CUCAUUUCAUCACCCAACCCAACAACUUCACACUCACUAACAAACACAAGAAAAUUACAAUUUCAAAAUAAAACCCUCUCACACUCACACACAAACAGACAAACGCAUCAACAAUUUUUCAACUCUCACUCUUUCUUUCCUUCUUUCUCACAUCACAUCACAUCUCGAAAUAUAUUUCAAGUCAAAAAACCCUCUCUCUCUCUCUCUCUCUCUCUCUCUCUCUCUCUCUCUCUCUCCUUUGCUUUUUCUUCUCCCUCUCCUCACUUUCCUCGUUUUCUUUUCUUUUCUUUUUCUUUUCAUUUCACUAUCUUUCUUUUUACUCCUUUUUAA